rnacentral:piRNA from 1 species
UAAAGUAUAGCUAACUUGUGGAAACCC